GCUGGGCACGGUGGCAUGUACCUGUAGUCCCAGCUACUCGGGAAGCUGAGAUGGGAGGAUUGCUUGAGCCCAGGAGUUCUGGGCUGUAGUGCCCUAUGCCGAUCGGGUGUCCGCACUAAGUUUAGCAUCAAUAUGGUGACCUCCCGGGAGCGGGGGAACACCAGGUUGCUUAAGGAGGGCUGAACCGGCCCAGGUCAGAAACAGAGCAGGUCAAAACUCCCAUGCUGAUCAGUAGUGGGAUCGCGCCUGUGAAUAGCCACUGCACUCCAGCCUGGGCAACAUAGUGAGACCCGGUCUCAA
ensembl:misc_RNA Metazoa_SRP Metazoan signal recognition particle RNA